AAUGGGAGUGAUUCUUUAGAUAUUAUGUUCAAUUUUCUAUUUGCUUGUGCAAAAAUUUAAAAUGGGUUUGGGUAAAAGGUUGAAUUUGAGAACUUUGUUUGUGCAAUAGUGGUAUGAAUCUGAUGAGUGAUAUUGUUGUUGUUGCUGGUGGUGCCAUUGUUGUUCAUGGAGUGAUCUUUGAAGAGGGGUUGUGUUGUUG
rnacentral:lncRNA from 1 species